AGGCACGUUAAAGACGAUGACGUUGAUAGGCCGGGUGUGUAAGCGCAGCGAUGCGUUGAGCUAACCGGUACUAAUGAACCGUGAGGCUUAACCUUACAACGCCGAAG
rnacentral:rRNA from 1 species